CUGGGAUCUGUAACUAUGUAAGAAGGACUUAUUUCACCACGAUUUCAGGAUUUUCGCCUUUUUUUUCCUUUGAUACCAAGGGAAGAACUAGGCAGUUACACCAGCAAAUGGAUGCACGAAUUGGAGGAAACAGGCACAGUGGGGUGCUUCAGACGUGUCCAUGCAUCAUGAGGGGAAAUACUUUUGCUGGCUUUGAAGUGGAGGGAAGGAUUAGAAUCAUAAUAAUUCCACGACACAGCUCAUGACCAGAAGCUGAGACAGAGAAAAGGAUCUCUGAAGAUGAACCUGGACCGGAAGACUCCACAUCUUGGCAUUACUUAGGAAUAAAACAUGACUUUGUUUGACUGCUUGAGCUAGACCAGAGUUGAUGCAUUUCCAUUUAUUAAGCGUUAACACUGUAUUGCCCUUUCCAGAGCUCUUCAAUACCAAAUUAAGUAUUUUGUUCUGUAAAUAAAUGUAUUUAGAUUUUAUUUAGGCAACACCUUUUCCUUCUUUAUUUGGGUUGUUGGAGGUAUAGAUUGUGAUUUGUGAAACAGGUUUGUGUUGUUUUUGUUAUUGUAAACAAAUGCAAUAUUAGUCAACAUAAUACAAUUGUUGGCUUUAAAUGUGUGUAGUGUCAAUGCAUCAAGUACAGUAUGCCUAUGACUUAAAUGUUGUAAUUUGAUUGAAAGAGGUAUGA